rnacentral:rRNA from 1 species
GACGGAGGAUGCAAGUGUUAUCCGGAAUCACUGGGCGUAAAGCGUCUGUAGGUUGUUUAAAAAGUCUGCAGUUAAAGGUUGAAGCUUAACUUCAAAAAUGCCGUAGAAACUUUUAAACUAGAGGAUGGUAGGGGUAGAGGGAAUUUCCAGUGGAGCGGUGAAAUGUGUAGAUAUUGGAAAGACCACCGAUGGCGAAGGCACUCUACUGGGCCAUGACUGACACUGAGGGACGAAAGCUAGGGGAGCGAAUGGG